rfam:Marchantia polymorpha mitochondrion, complete genome.
UUGAGCCGUAUGCGGGAAAACUCGCACGUACGGUUCUUAGGGGGGGGAAAGCUUGAGAGGGCCUACCUAUCCCGAC